UACGUAGGGUGCGAGCGUUAAUCGGAAUUACUGGGCGUAAAGCGUGCGCAGGCGGCGCGUUAAGACAGGUGUGAAAGCCCCGAGCUUAACUUGGGAAUUGCGCUUGUGACUGGCGUGCUGGAGUGUGGCAGAGGGAGGUGGAAUUCCACGUGUAGCAGUGAAAUGCGUAGAGAUGUGGAGGAGCACCGAUGGCGAAGGCAGCCUCCUGGGCCAGCACUGACGCUCAUGCACGAAAGCGUGGGGAGCAAACAGG
rnacentral:rRNA from 1 species